CACUUUCACUUUUCACUUUCAUGCGUUGGAGAAGGAAAUGGCAACCCACUUCAGUGUUCUUGCCUAGAGAAUCCCAGGGACGGGGGAGCCUGGUGGGCUGCCGACUAUGGGGUCGCACAGAGUCGGACAUGACUGAAGCGACUUAGCAGUAGCAGCAGCAGCUUCCACCAGCUUCCUUCUCAGCCCAGCAACUCUGACAGCCAGCUACCUGUCCAAGGAUUCUGGUAGAGUCAGGUCUCACUGGGAGCUGCUGGUGAGUUCAGGGCAGCUGCAGAGGGAACUGGAAACAAGAAGGGAGAAAAAAAAAAAAGACCAGCAAGUUUGGACCAGCCGUCUUUCAAGGGCUCAACAGCCAUGUUGGCUAGCGGCUUCCAUACUAGCCAUGGCAGGACCGGGUUUUCUUUCAGAGGUUGAGGUUGCCCCCUGCCCCUCUCCCGGAACCAGAGAGCUUCCAGAGGCCACGAUCUUAGCAACACAGUGAGGCAAUCCAGUCUCCAAGUAGAUAUUCGUAAUUUAGAGAACAAGAUGCCCAUUUCAAGGGGCCCCCGUCCCAUCCAACGCAGCGUCCGCUCCUGGGCACAUAAACAAAGCAGGCUGCGGGUUGUCCAUUGGGUCCUUUUCCGAGAGGUGGACCUCAAACGUUCCACGCCACACCCCUCGAAAGGAAGAAAGUUCUAAAUCCUCAGGGCGUACAUUACGCUAACCCCACCCUGCACACGGACUUUCCCCCCGCCGUCAGCGAAUUCCACCUGGCCUACACACACCCUGCUUCUCCGCAGAAGCUUGCUGUGCUCAUUGCUCGCCCGACUCGAGACUGAAGACCCAAGAGGCCCUCAGACCUGGCCCUGUGUGCCAUCGUCGGUUCACCAGCCCUUCAGCCACAUCUGCUUGCUGCUAGACAGAGGUCGCGCUCAGUGGAGCGGAGAGCCUCAGUUCAGUUGAUGAAGUCCCAAGCCUGAGGGACACAUUCCUGGUUAAGGUACCAGACAUAGGAGAGGGGCCCUUGUUGGAAACUUAUAACCACUUCCCAGGCGGCACUAGUGGUAAAGAACACGCCUGCCAGUGCAGCAGACAUAAGAGACUUGGGUUUGAUCCCUGGGUCCAGAAGACCCCCUGGAGGAGGGCAUGGCAACCCAGUUCAGUAUUCUUGGCUGGAGAAUCCCAUGGACAGAGGAGCCUGGUGGGCUACAGUCCAUAAGGUUGCAAAGAGUCAGACACCACCGAAGCAAAUGAGCACGCUCAGUGAGCGGGACUCUCCCUCGCUUGUAC
ensembl:lncRNA